UACAGAGGGUGCAAGCGUUAAUCGGAAUUACUGGGCGUAAAGCGUGCGUAGACGGUUAUUUAAGUCAGGUGUGAAAGCCCCGGGCUCAACCUGGGAAUUGCAUUUGAGACUGAAUAGCUAGGGUGCGGAAGAGGGAAGCGGAAUUUCCGGUGUAGCGGUGAAAUGCGUAGAUAUCGGAAGGAACACCAGUGGCGAAGGCGGGUCUCUGGACAGUUCCUGACGCUGAGGCACGAAGGCCAGGGGAGCAAACGGG
rnacentral:rRNA from 1 species